UACGAAGGGUGCGAGCGUUAAUCGGAAUUACUGGGCGUAAAGGGUGCGUAGAUGGCCUAUUAAGUCGGAUGUGAAAGCCCCGGGCUCAACCUGGGAAUGGCAUCCGAUACUGGUGGGCUAGAGUGCGGUAGAGGAGAGUGGAAUUCCCGGUGUAGCGGUGAAAUGCGUAGAGAUCGGGAGGAACAUUCGUGGCGAAGGCGGCUCUCUGGACCAGCACUGACGUUGAGGCACAAAAGCGUGGGGAGCAAACAGG
rnacentral:rRNA from 1 species